CCUGCCUCAGGCUCCCGAGUAGCUGGGACUACAGGAUUUUCUUCUAAGCUGCUGAGACCCCAUCUGCACCCUUUCAGUGGAGAUGCUUUCUUGAUCUUAAAAGAGGAUUUCAUGCAUAGGCAAUGUCAGCCAUACCACAAAGCUACCAAAUGGCCAAUAGCCAUCACCGACUGUCAGAAGUAUCAAGAUUUCUGAGACACGACAAUGUGAAAAAAAAGAUUUCCAGACUUCAUUCAUCUGACAAAACUGCUACUUUGUAUUCUUGGACCUACAUCUCCCUAUUUCCUCCCCUUCUCCCCUCUUCAACCCUGGCCAUCAAGCUACAAAUGAUCCUACAUUAAAAAAAAAAAAAGAAAGAAAGAAAAAGAUGGCACGGAUUGAGAAAGACAAUGUCCUGCAGGUGAAGGCUGGUUGAAACAGAAUGAAGCAUGAAGUUAAUUUAAACAUCAGGAAAGGAAUAAAGAGGAUUUCAUCUGUAUGAACAGGGUUCCUAUAGUAGAGACUUCAUUUAUUAUCUCUCUCUGGACCGCUUUUAACUAAAGUGGUUCUUUAGAGGUUAUUAGUGUGAAGCACAUGACAAUGCGCAGAACACUUUCACUUCAUCUCUCGGUCUCUUCACAAUGGUCUCUGAGGGCAGCUAUUAUUAUUUUGCUCAUUGUACUGAUGAAAAAACAGGGCCUCGAAAGCUGAUUGCUCCAUGAUCACACAGGAAGUGAUGGAUAGGGGCGUGCAGUCCACACACCAUGUUCUUUUGUUGACUCAACAAAGUGAAAGUAGAACCUAUGCCCACACCAGCCCGGAGUGUAGCAGUAAUCUCUAGCUCUAGGCCAGGGCUCCUCAAACUUUUUA